CAGCCGCCGCGGGAAUACGAAGGUCCCGAGCGUUGUUCGGAAUCACUGGGCGUAAAGGGAGCGUAGGCGGCGUGGUAAGUCAGAUGUGAAAUCCCGGGGCUCAACCCCGGAACUGCAUCCGAUACUGCCAUGCUAGAGGAUUGGAGAGGUAGCUGGAAUUCUUGGUGUAGCAGUGAAAUGCGUGGAGAUCAAGAGGAACACUCGUGGCGAAAGCGAGCUACUGGACAAUAACUGACGCUGAGGCUCGAAGGCCAGGGUAGCGAAAGGGAUUAGAUACCCCGGUAGUCCCUGUCUCUUAUAC
rnacentral:rRNA from 1 species